rnacentral:rRNA from 1 species
ACGUAGGGGGCAAGCGUUGUCCGGAAUUACUGGGCGUAAAGCGCACGCAGGCUGAAUUAUAAGUCGGUAGUCAAAUACGGAGGCUCAACUUCCGGAUCUCUAUCGAUACUGUAAAUCUAGAGUAUGUGAGAGGGAAGCGGAAUUCCCGGUGGAGCGGUGAAAUGCGUAGAUAUCGGGAGGAACACCAGUGGCGAAGGCGGCGUCCUGGCACAAGACGGACGCUCAUGUGCGAAAGCUAGGGCAGCGAACGG